UACGAGGGGGGCGAGCGUUGUUCGGAAUUAUUGGGCGUAAAGGGUGCGUAGGCGGUUUGGUAAGUCUCGUGUGAAAUCUACAGGCUCAACUUGUAGUCUGCACGAGAAACUGCCGGGCUCGAGUGUGGGAGAGGUGAGUGGAAUUCCCGGUGUAGCGGUGAAAUGCGCAGAUAUCAGGAGGAACACCGAUGGCGAAGGCAGGUCUCUGGGCCACUACUGACGCUGAGAAGCGAAAGCAUGGGGAGCGAACAGG
rnacentral:rRNA from 1 species